CAGGAAAUGGAAGGUUCUUUUUUUCUGAUGGUGCGAGGACAGAAAGUCAUUCAAUUCAUUACAUGCAUAUCAAUCACCUUGGGAGGAGUUUUUGGAGAUGUUUCAUCCAGCACCUGACUCAAAGCAACUUCAACCCUGAUUCCACUCUAGAGUCAAAUGAGGUUGCUCAGGCUCUGGCCCAGCCAAAAUCUCAGAUGUGUAUUCCAACCUCUUUAGAUAACCCCAUGGCUCAUCAGCAACCAGAUUGCAGAGCAAGGCUCAUCAGGAGAUGAAAAAACCUUGAAGCAUGAGAAACAUCACAGACUGUCAAUUAAUAUCUCAUUAAUAAAGAGAACAACAACAAAAUGAAUGAAUAAACAAGGAAAAUAGGCUAAGUGGAGAGGUGUUAAUUGAUGAAGAUCUGAAAGGCUUGAAAGAUCUAAACAUAAAGAGUUUAGAAAAGAAUGAUCUCUUCAUAUGAAUUCAUUUGCUUGGAGGUUUGAAUUGGUCCUGCAUGACUGGGAUGCUGGGAAACAACAUGAAGAACACAGGCAUGAGCAAGGGCAGCAGGAUUGGAAAGAAGUAAAUGAACAGUCUGGAUUCUGAAUUAGCACUAAUGGAAGAGGCACUUGGUCAAAAAAUUUCACAUUUUCAGACAUCAUUGGAAAAAAAUAUUCCAGUAAUUUCUACCAUCUAAACACCAAACUACUGACCUGAGGGAAAAAUACUCAGAAUUCAAGACUCCUGCCUUCCUUGAAAGAUCUGCUGUGAGUGAUGCGUGGCACAUCUUGGAUCCUUGGAACUCCUAAUCUCCCACAGUGGUCACUUAAAAUUUUACAUGGUUCUCUUGACCUAACAAUGUUAAAUGCCAAAAGAAAUGAACAAAAUUAGUAGACCCAUUUAGUUGAUUUUUUGGAUUUGUGGUGUUUUUGGUGGGUUUUUUGUUUGUUUGGUAAUGACUAAGAGAGUUAGGAAUAAAGGAGGGGCAGGGAGGGAGAGACAGCAUCCUUCACAUGCAAGUCACAUAUCAGCCACAUCUAUAUAAAAUCCAGUUAGGACAAUCAGUGAUAAAUGUGAAUUGCUGUGUACUAGCUUUCAAGAAACAAGCUGAUAUCUCAAAUGGAGAUUACAGGCAAACAGAGUCAAACUAGACCUCUGAGAACUGUAUUGUUUACCCUUGCUCAGUGUUUUAAUUACUUGAAAUACUUAAUUUUGUUAAGAAACCUGUUUCACACUGUUGUGUAUACCUAGCUGUGAUUAAAUAUAAAAAAUAAAAUAUGAAAAUAUUUUUGAUGCAU